UAUGAUGCCAAGGCUCUAGAGGAGAC
rnacentral:piRNA from 1 species